UACGAAGGGGGCUAGCGUUGCUCGGAAUCACUGGGCGUAAAGCGCACGUAGGCGGAUCGUUAAGCCGGAGGUGAAAUCCUGGAGCUCAACUCCAGAACUGCCUUCGAUACUGGCGAUCUUGGAGUCCGGGAGAGGUGAGUGGAACUCCGAGUGUAGAGGUGAAAUUCGUAGAUAUUCGGAAGAACACCAGUGGCGAAGGCGGCUCACUGGCCCGGUACUGACGCUGAGGUGCGAAAGCGUGGGGAGCAAACAGG
rnacentral:rRNA from 1 species